GACGAACGCUGGCGGCGUGCUUAACACAUGCAAGUCGAACGGAAAGGCCUGCUUUCCCUUGUGGAUUGCGGGUACUCGAGUGGCGAAUGGGUGAGUAACACGUGAGUGAUCUGCCCCCAACUUGGGUAUAAGCCUGGGAAACUGGGUCUAAUUCCCGAUAGGACUGCAGGGUGGUGCCUGUGGUGGAAAACGAUUUUCUAGUGGUUGGGGAUGAGCUCGCGGCCUAUCAGCUUGUUGGUGGGGUAAUGGCCUACCAAGGCGGCGACGGGUAGCCGGCCUGAGAGGGUGGACGGCCACAUUGGGACUGAGAUACGGCCCAGACUCCUACGGGAGGCAGCAGUGGGGAAUAUUGCACAAUGGGCGGAAGCCUGAUGCAGCGACGCCGCGUGGGGGAUGACGGCCUUCGGGUUGUAAACUCCUUUCGACCGCGAGGAAGCCACCUGGUUGGAAGGGUGGUGACGGUAGUGGUAGAAGAAGCACCGGCUAACUACGUG
rnacentral:rRNA from 1 species